GAUUGGUCAGAAGGUGUUUUGAAGGUAGUUCCGGCUGCAAGACAAAUCCUGUUUCUAUAGUAACUGCAACAUACAGGAACUUACUGUACUGCACAUAGUGGACGCAUAACAUAGAUGGAUGGAUUUUAAAAAGAUGUGUGAUCGUUGACACGGUGCACUUUUCUGUAAGGAGACGUUAUUUAACAUUUUUGGAAGGAGUCUCCAGUGUCAGCGCUUUAUACUCUAUAUCAGUCAGAGUGACGUGAUGAAAUCUUGUGCGAUCCCGCCCUGGGACGUUAAUCAUCCUAUUGUCUAGCAUAGAAGAAAAAUGAAGAAGAAGAAGAAGAAGAAGAAAGGUAUGUACAGUAUCUAGCGUUCGCUACUAUCCGGGGUUUCAGGCAUCCGCUGAGGGGCUUGGGCCCUAUCCCCCGCGCUUACGACGGUCCUACUGUAUUUCAUUCAUUCAUCACCCAUGACCUUCUCAUGCUACACAACAUAUUUGCUGCUAUAGCUAUUCGUGUGUGCUUCAGUAUAGACGGUCCACUGGGAUGCAGUGUUCAACUUGAGGAUGGGCCUACCUCAGUAAAAAAUUUUAAUAUGCUCGAUGCAGGAUUCUGAGUCUGAUUAGAAGUUAGCUUAACCGUGACACUCCAAGGCUAAACAUGAAUGAUCGACCCACAGCACGCAGGAAAAUUCCUUGUCGUCCCGAAAAAAAAAACCCACCAUAAGAAAGCAUAUCCAGGAAUUCCAGCCGUCCUCGCACCCUCCCAGAGCCCCGUCUUGAUGAGGCUGCUCUCAAUGAGAAGACAAUUGAGUUCAGUCACAGCACCAUUACCAGCAGGAGUUAUGAGAGAUUCUUCGCGGGAUAACGAUCACACGGUUUUUUUUUUUCCCUCAUGUCACCGAAAGCCAUGAAAAUGUGUUUCAUUACGAACUUUCGACAGGAUGUCAUUUCUAAGACGGCCUUGGCUGGCCGGGGUCUCCCCCCCACCCUUGUGAAUUUCCAACGAAAAAAGUCUUCCCCUUUGAAUAUGCCUCCUCUGUAUUUAAUAAGUAUAAUCACCGAAUAAUGACGGAAGACAUAUUUUACCACAGCAUUCUCAUUCGCUGUGUGCGGCUCGUCUGAACUUCUCGGCGAGAUUAUUUCCCCAUGCAGAAAACAACAUUGUUGAGAGGGAAACACAUGUUAUGGGAAGAGAAAGAACAAAGCCAUGGUUGGUGAGGGCUAGAGAGAGCGAGGCUUAUAUUGUUUUGUUUUUUUCUUUCUUUCUUUCGCUGGAAAAUUCUUUGUCUCUGAAACUCCUCUAAGAGACAGUCACACUUUUGUCAGUUUAAGUGCAAAGUCAAGUUUUACUGAAAGUUUUUUUUUUUUCUUCACACAGUCACUGGCAUGCUGAGGUAUUUUUGAAGAAUGCAGUUUAUUUUUGUGCACCAGCUCGCUUUGCUUUCGUGCAAGUUUAACGUAUGUUUUUUUUUUUCGCAAAAAGACAAAAAGAUGUGUGAGUGUUAGGAGUCUGAGCUUCAUCUACAGCAUAGAAACAUAAUAAACAUAUAUAGCAUCUUACCGAAGUUACUUUCCUAAUCUUGAAUAGUAAUGUGAUUGUGUGUGUGUGUGUGUGUGUGUGUGUGUGUGUGUUAAGAUUGGGAGGUGUUUAAAAAUUGCAUAAAACAAUGACAUUUGCAUAAAAUAAAAGAUAUUCAAAAAUAUACGAGUAUAAUAUAUACUAUACAGUGAGGGAAAAAAGUAUUUGAUCCCCUGCUGAUUUUGUACGUUUGCCCACUGACAAAGAAAUGAUCAGUCUAUAAUUUUAAUGGUAGUUGUAUUUGAACAGUGAGAGACAGAAUAACAACAAAAAAAUCCAGAAAAACGCAUGUCAAAAAUUU